AUGGUUUUUACUGCAAUGCAUCUUGGGAGUCGUAGUAAAUGGAUCUUUCAACUCACGGUCCAGCGAAUUUUUCGACUCGACACGAGGCAGAUCUUAGCUAGAGCAGUCUGUGUACCAAGAGAACUACUUCUGCAAAGAAAUUACAAAGCCAAAAACCCAAACCAUGCCCUUCCUGUCAGGCUCCAAACACCUGCAACAGGAAGACAUGCAGUGGAUGCCUGGGCAGCCUGAACGUAAAGGAGGGAUUGAAAAAAAAAAACAAGAACAGCAACUGGGCUGCCUCUGUUAAAAAAAAAAAACAAAACAGAAAUGCGAGCAGGGUGGUUAAUUCAGCCCAGUUAUCAGUAAGGUUUCAAAACUACAUGCCCUGGGCUUCCAGCCAAUUCUGUUUCUUGGACAGUUUGACCGAAAGGGCCGUAUAGUAGGGGACGUGAUCACAUAGAGCCAGCGGAUGGUGCUGCAUGUGACAUCCUCAUGAAGAUGAGGAAACUUUAUGAACACCUUCUGAGAAAAUUACAAGCUUCACCUCCUGCUAAAAGUUCUACACCAGCAGCUGGACCAUCCUCUGCUGACAGUGUCGAUGCUGGACCAGUCCCAGACCCAGAGGCUCUAAACGAGGAAUUUAUUCUUCAUUUAGAGCCUGAACCAACAUCUUCCCUCUGUCAGCCUCCUGUAUCCUCCUCUUCAUCUCUGCUUCCUCCUGCAUCCUCCUCUUCAUCUCUGCUUCCUCCUGCAUCCUCCUCUCCGUCUCUGCUUCCUCCUGCAUCCUCCUCUCCGUCUCCGCUUCCUCCUGCAUCCUCCUCUUCAUCUCCGCUUCCUACAUUU
ensembl:lncRNA